rnacentral:rRNA from 1 species
GAUGAACGCUGGCGGCGUGCUUAACACAUGCAAGUCGAACGGAAAGGCCCUGCUCUUGCGGGGUGCUCGAGUGGCGAACGGGGGAGUAACACGCGAGUAACCUGCCCUUAACUUUGGGAGAACUUCAGGAAACAGGGGCUAAUACCGGAUAGGAGCUACUGCUACACGGUGGGGGUUGGAAAGUUUCGGCGGUUGGGGCUGGACUGGCUGCUUAUCAGCUGGAUGGUGAGGUAGUUGCUGACCAAGGCUUUGACGGGUAGCCGGCAUUGGAGGGUGGCCGGCGUCCUUGGGACUACGGGACGGACCAGUAGCGUAUCGGCGGCAGCAGUCGGGAGUCUUACAGAAUGGGGCGGAGCCUGAGGCAACAGCGCCCCGUUCGGGAUGACGGGCUUCGGGUUGUAAACCAAUUUCGCAUGUGCCAAAGCGUGCGUGACGGUAAUGGGUAAAGAAGCACCGGCUAACUACGUG